rnacentral:misc_RNA from 1 species
GAAAUGCGAUACGUAAUGUGAAUUGCAGAAUUCAGUGAAUCAUCGAAUCUUUGAACGCACAUUGCGCCCGCUAGUAUUCUGGCGGGCAUGCCUGUUCGAGCGUCAUUUCAACCAUCAAGCCCCCGGGCUUGCGAUGGGGCUAUGCGGCUGCCGCAUGCCCCGAAAUUCAGUGGCGGGCUCGCCUUCACUCCGAGCGCAGUAACGCAUCUCGCUCUGGCUGUGUCGCGUGCUCCUGCCGUAAAACACCCCAAUUUUAAGGUUGACCUCGGAUCAGGUAGGAAUACCCGCUGAACUUAA